rnacentral:rRNA from 1 species
GACGGGGGGGGGCAAGUGUUCUUCGGAAUGACUGGGCGUAAAGCGUGCGCAGGCGGCGCGUUAAGACAGGUGUGAAAGCCCCGAGCUUAACUUGGGAAUUGCGCUUGUGACUGGCGUGCUGGAGUGUGGCAGAGGGAGGUGGAAUUCCACGUGUAGCAGUGAAAUGCGUAGAGAUGUGGAGGAACACCGAUGGCGAAGGCAGGUCUCUGGGCCAUAACUGACGCUGAGAAGCGAAAAGCAUGGGGGAGCGAACAGG